rnacentral:piRNA from 1 species
UGGUCAGAGAGAGUAAGCCUUCAUGAG